rnacentral:rRNA from 1 species
UACAUGGGGUGCAAACGUUGCUCGGAAUUAUUGGGCGUAAAGCGCGCGUAGGCGGUUACUUAAGUAGGAUGUGAAAGCCCUCGGCUUAACUGAGGAAGUGCACCCGAAACUGAGUAGCUAGAGUACGAAAGAGGGUCGCGGAAUUCCCGGUGUAGAGGUGAAAUUCGUAGAUAUCGGGAGGAACACCGGUGGCGAAGGCGGCGACCUGGGUCGAGACUGACGCUGAGGCGCGAAAGCGUGGGGAGCAAACAGG